rnacentral:rRNA from 1 species
GACGAACGCUGGCGGCGUGCUUAACACAUGCAAGUCGAACGGAAAGGCCCUGCUUUUGUGGGGUGCUCGAGUGGCGAACGGGUGAGUAACACGUGAGUAACCUGCCCUUGACUUUGGGAUAACUUCAGGAAACUGGGGCUAAUACCGGAUAGGAGCUCCUGCUGCAUGGUGGGGGUUGGAAAGUUUCGGCGGUUGGGGAUGGACUCGGGGCUUAUCAGCUUGUUGGUGGGGUAGUGGCUUACCAAGGCUUUGACGGGUAGCCGGCCUGAGAGGGUGACCGGCCACAAUAGGACUAAGAGACGGACCAGACUCCUACGGGAGGCAGCAGUGGGGAAUAUUGCACAACGGGCGGAAGCCUGAUGCAGCAACGCCGCGUGCGGGAUGACGGCCUUCGGGUUGUAAACCGCUUUCGCCUGUGACGAAGCGUGAGUGACGGUAAUGGGUAAAGAAGCACCGGCUAACUACGUG